rnacentral:lncRNA from 10 species
CAGCAUUUCAUCAUAUGUUCUCAGCAACUGCAUGAAAAGAAGCUUCUUUCCCAUUCCAUCUAUCAGAAGCCCCCGGUACCAGGCUCUAAAAUGACCAACCUGGGUCAAGUGUUCAUUCUUGUACUCUUCUCUAUGGCCAGAGGUUCACAGGUGCUGUGAUGUCUUUCACAGGCAAUGGAUAAAGCAUCCUGCAUUGUCCUAGGCACACUCUGUAGGGAAGAUAUGGGAAUCUGAAGUCAACUUUGCCAAAAUUGGUAAAAGAGAUCAUUUAAAUGGCUUCCAGAGUUCUGGAUGAACAGUUUCUUCAAGAAGGAAUUUGGUGAGGAUUGCUAAUGUGAGAUGAGAAUCUACUCACAAACAUUAAGAAGGUAACAUGAUGAGUGAAGUAAAGGUAGGUUAUAGUUGAAAGAGCCACAGGAAACUCUGUGUCCUUGCUUCCCUUUCACGCGUAUGGACUCAUAUUCCAUGAUUGAAAGGGGCUGCUACUAAGAGAAAGCAUGCUCUCAGAUAACCGUUUUCAGAUAACGUCGAGAAAGUGAGAGUAUACACAGAUCAACAUGAUGGUCCACUUAACGGGGGAAGAGAGUAAAAUGUUGGUGUCACUGACAAGGAUGGCAACAUUUAAAUGUUCAGAUCCUUACAGGAGAAGCAUUGCAGUCACUUGACAAUCUCAAGCUAUGUGUUUCUUCAGUGCUUCUUGAAAACAUUUAUAAUACAGAAGAUGGUUUUAAAAAAUGUAUAACUUUUUCAAUGAAAAUGUGAAUUUCAACACCUUAAAAAGCAUAUUAUACUACUGUGAAGUGCUCAUGGUUCAUUUUAUUUAACUCACCUUCUAGAUAACUUCUUAGAAAAAUAGGACUCAAUUUAAUUUUAAAAUCAUUUUAAAAUUACAUGAAAUGACAUAAGGAGAUGAAUGCAAUAGUUGCUAAUGUUUCUUGGAGGAGUCAUGGGGCAAA